AACGUAGGACACAAGCGUUAUCCGGAGUUACUGGGCGUAAAGGGCGUGUAGGCGGAGAUGUAAGUCUAUUCUGAAAGCUCCUGGCUAAACUGGGAGAGGCGAAUGGAGACUGCAUAUCUAGAGUGAGGAAGAGGAAAGUGGAAUUCCGCGUGUAGUGGUGAAAUGCGUAGAGAUGCGGAGGAACACCAGUGGCGAAGGCGGCAUCCUGGACUACUACUGACGCUGAGUGAGCGAAAGCCAGGGGAGCAAACGGG
rnacentral:rRNA from 1 species